GCAAAAGUUCAAAAUUAUGUCGACAACGUAACUUUUUUGCAGCGAAUAUUUUUCAUAUUAAGGUCAUUUAAAAAAAAAAUAGUAUAUAUUAAGCAAAAGUAUAAAUUCAAGAAAUUAGGCGUAAUCUACUCAGCAAAUAUGUUAUUUAAUCUACCAGAAAUUACACCUACUGGGCCCAAAAUGUCUGAUGUUGAAACUAAAAAAAAAAUGUUGCCUACUGUGUUUGCCUAGAUCAUAAACAAAUGUUUUUGAGACAAACUUUUCUACUUAAUUAGGUACCAAAUACAAAAAAAAAAUCACUUAUUUUUCAUGAAAAAUAUAGUUUCCUCAUCCAAACACACCCUAAAUGUUUGUACAAAACUUUUUCUUGAUGAUGUGUUUUAUUAAGAGGCCACAAAUCUUUAGCUUCAGUCACACAACAAAGUCCAUUGAGGAACUCUUUUUGUUCCUUUGUGUUUUCAUUAGUCUAUUUCUAAAUAAAAACUAAUGGUCCAACUUGCACACUAUCUUGAAUAACCAAAAUUCAAGAACUAUCAUCUGUUGUUAUCAUUAUCUGUUGUUAUCGUUCAGAGAUUUCUAGUUCAAAUUCCUGUGAAUGGAAGAGAUUUUGUUGGAAGCGUCGUCUUCAAAAAUAGAUUGUAUAAUGUGUGAAUCUAUAUUUAGUUGGAUUUCAACACAAAUAUCGGAGGUCAUAUGAGAAACUAAAAAAAAAAUAUUGUUACCUCGAAUAAGUUCAAACGGUAGAAUUUUUUAUCAACUGAUCACGUUCACCAUCUUAAAAUAUUUUGAAUGUGACUUAUGGCAACAGUUGAAAUUCAUGUAUGAUAGCAACAUAGCUAAGUUCUAACUUUUGUCUUCCGAUCAAUUGAGCAAAUUCACUAUCUUAAAAUAUCUUAAAUAUUUAUUUUAUGGAUAAAGUUAAAAAUUAUGUUUGAUGGACAAUAAAGUAAGUUACAAUUUUCGCCUUAAAAGUUCAAAAAAAAAAAAAAAAUCAAUUCUUCAUUUGAAAUGACCCAUUUUUCCAUGAAGACGACAACUUGAAAAGCUAUUGCUUACGGUAUGUGAUUAUUAUGGAUUUCUAUUCUAUCUGUCCCAUGCUUGGUUUAGAAUUUUAGAUCAUUUUACCUGAAUUCACUCUGUUGCGGCAUGGAUAGCUGGAUGAAUUUUACCAAUUCAUAUAAUUGUUGCAUCGGUAAGAAGUGUUGUGCUUGCACAUAGGCUAUAGCUGAGGUUCCUCUGAGUUGAUAGCUGCUACUUCAUCAUCUCCUACCUAAAGAAUGAAAUAUUUGUUGCAUAAGCUGUUGUGUUCCAGUAUAACCAUGACGAGAGCAAAUUUUGCUGGUUAAAUCGAAAAGGACAUUGGUUUAGAUAGCUAUUGAGUUGUACUUUCAUUCAUUCUCCAGGUCAUUCAAAAGCCUACCGAGGGAUUUCACCUUUUACUGGAACAUUGAAAGUCCGUAACUGCUGUGAUUUUAUAUGAUUAUGAGUGAAAAAGGAUUUUCAUCUUAUAAAAAAGUACUAUUGUUAGCUGGGACAUGGAUAGUGUGGAAAGAGAUAGAAGUUGGCCUCCUGAUGAAGCUUUGAAGUCACAUGGUGCGAAGGAGCCAUAAGGUUGAGCAACGAAAAAUAGCAUUCCCUGUUUCAUGUUUUGACAUUCAGACAAGGAUCUUCUGAACUGUUUCCUGGGUUGGUUGAUCGAUCCAUCAAGAUAUGGAAUGUGGAAGAUAGAACUUAUGUUCUGAAGUUCUGAUCAUUGAUUCUUUGAGUAAAGAAAGGGUGUUGACAGUUGGAUGAGACUACUGAAUGGAAGUAUGGGUUAGCGGAGGAUAUGUCAAGAAUAAGGGGAGCUGUGAAAUACUAAAGAGAUUUCUCCUAAUGAGUUGCACAGUCAGGCUGCGAUCUACAUUGGAACUUUGAUUGGAUGAGAAACAAUGAACUUUCAGCGUUUAAGAAGGGACUGAGUUAAGUUAUAAAGGAAAUUUCACCUCAUCCUCUUAGAUUUGUAAGUUCAUGCAAUUUAAGAAGCAAGAAUGUAAUUGAUAUGAAGCCUUAUUGCUCCGAAUUUUACUAUCCUGAAACAUAUUAAGGAAGACAUAUGAAGAAGAAUCGAUGUUUUCAAUGCCCGAUAAGAAGGGUUGAAUUGUGCCACAAGAAGUUAUGGACGAAGUUGUGUUACCAUUAAAAUACAAACGUCUACCUGAAAGGCCAAAACAAAAACAGGCACAAGAAAUCAAGUGAAACAAUGACAUCGAGCAAUAAUUAUUGCGGAAGAUGUGGUUAUGAAGGUCACAACAGGCGUACUUGCAACUUCUUUCCAAAGGAGGAGUGGCAAUGUAGUUGACUGAUGCAUAAUGAUGAAUAGUUUCUCAACUUGUUGGUGAAUUUUUCAUCUAUUUGAUUCGACAUUUUAAUUGAUGAUAUUAUUAUUUUUUAAUUUUUUUUUUUUAAGAAAGAUAGUUACCGAA